UUGGUUCGUCUGUAAGUCUCGACAUGUAGUCUGGUUAAACUCAUCACAAAGACAUGGUGACCAGUUGAGCUAAACAGACUCCUUGGAGCCUCUAGUUUCCAAAGUUUUCUGAUUACAAUGCAGAUUAUUUGUUUAAGGUUUGGAUCACUCAGAUCUUAUUAAAAUGAAUGCAGCAGAUAUAAUGUGCAGAACUCAGAAAGUACUACAUUUAUGAUGGAGUGGAUUUUGCAUUAAAAUGCAUGAAACAGAGAAACAGAUAUAGUGAAUUUCUACAAUGGGCAGUAUUUAAUUUGUCCUGUGCUUGUUAGAAGAAGAUUGUGAGAACUACAAGGCAAGAAUCCAAAAUGAGAUAGCUGGAAAAUAAUGAGUAAAGAAGAAAGAAAUUAACAAGUGAUUAUUCCUGCUUGUGAAUGCAUCAGCUGAAAUAGACAUUUGGUUUAUAUUUAGAAGCAAGUUACAAUUUCCCACUGAUAGCAUAACAGUCAGCUGUCAAUCACUGAUCUCAAGUGUUACUAAAAAUAGAUUUAAUGAAAACCAGUCAUGCACUGUAAAGUGAUUACUAAGAAUAGGAAGAAUUGAAACAAUGUGCUUUCCAUCAGCCAGGUCAAAGUGGAGAAUGGC